UUUUUUUAUUUAUAUAUAUAUAUAUAUAUAUAUAUAUAUAUAUAUAUAUAUAUAUAUUUUAUUUUGUUUUCCUCCCUAUAGUAAAAGCUUGAUUUUCUGUUAUCAGAUGUAUAAGAAAAGCAGUUGCUCUUAAUAAAUAGCAAAUUUAUAAGAAAAUGGGGUAAAGUUUGUCAGGCGUUCAACUAGAUUACAAAUGGUUUUAUUUUAUUUAUUUUAUUUUAUUUUAUUUUAUUUUAUCUAUUUUUUAUUUUUUAUUUUAUUUUAUCUAUUUUAUUUUAUUUUAUUUAAUCUAUUUAUUUUAUUUUAUUUUAUUUUGUUGUUUUGUUUUAUUUUAUUUCAUUGUUUUGAUAUAUUUUAUUUUGUUGCCUGUGGAGUACGUAAUCACAAAGAGAGCUUGUUUUCUGUUAUCAGCUGGAUGAGAAAUGCAGACCCUCUGCUCUUACACGAGAAAAAAAAGAUAAGAUGUAUAAAGAAGCAGUCUCUUUCAUUGCAUGAUUUCCUUAGAGAUCUGUUUCCAGCCAAGGAAAGAUUCUGCCAGAACGUAAUGUCCAAUUUCCCAUUUCAAAGGCUUAGCUGAAUCUCCCUUUGAUAGAUGGAGAAAGCGGAUGCUUGAACAUGUUUUAUGUGUGCUUCAGACUCUGGAUCUCUCCGGUAACAUGUUGUCACACGUUCCUCCUGACCUGCCCGAGUCUCUUGAGUUCCUCCACCUGCAGAACAACAGAAUCAGCUCCGUUUCUGCCACAGCUUUCCUCAACACACCCAACAUCAAAGGCAUCUUCCUCAGAUUUAAUCGUCUCUCAGUUCAUUCGGUGUCCGAAGAGUCUUUUUCCCACCUGUCCAAGCUUCGGGUGUUGGACAUUGGCCACGGUAACAUCUCUCCCAACCGAGGCCAGGCCGAGGAGCAGGUGGAGGAGGAAGAGGAGGCUAAACUUUCAUGAGUCACGGAUGGAAAUAACAGUAAAAAAAUCAUGCCCUGAACUUUCCUUCACUCAAAAAUAAAACAAAAAUGACAACCGGUUUGAGAUUAUAAAUUCAUUGUGGCAGCUGACAGAAAGUGAGUAUUUCCAAACGCAGUGUUUGAUUACAUCCCAGUGCAUUGGAAGAUAUUUUAAGACAUGAGAAAGGAAAAUACUAAUUGUGCUACUAUGAAUUGCUGUCUACUAAUUUCAAAAAUGUGGCUUUAUAUUGUAAUAGAUGCAAUAGUAAGAAAACCAAAGUCAUAUGGAUUAAUAUCUGGUGCAGGAUGCUGGAAAACUAUAUUGGUUGUCUUUUAUUUUUAGUUUUUGUGGUGUUUCUCAGUCAUGGCUCAUUGCUCAUUGUGUUUACAUGCAUAAAGCUGUUCUGCUGUGCUAUGAAAUUAUAAUUUCUUGCUCCAGAGAACAGGCUCUGGGUAUUUUUUCUAUAAGGGAAAAAAUGCUUUUAUCUAAAGUCAUAUAAUAGUUUUGUGAAUUUAAGUCUUAACACUCUUACAUCUAAUUUCAUAUUCAAAAAUGGUGCAUCAUUGUGCAACACUACAUUUGUGACCCUGAACCACAAAGUCCAAUUAAGUCGCUGGGGUAUCAUUUUUAGUAAUAGCCAAAAAAAAAAGAAAACCUUGUAUGGGUCAAAAUUAUACAUUUUUCUUUUAUGCCAAAAAUCAUUAGGAUAUUAAGUAAAAUCCUGUCAUGAAGACAUUUUGUAAAUUUCCUUCUGUAAAUAUAUCUAAACUAAAUAUUUGAUUAUUAAUAUGCAUGGCUAAGAACUUCAUUAAGACAUCUUUAAAGGCAAUUAUCUGAGUAUUUAGAUUUUUUUGCACCCUCAGAUUCCAGAUUAUUCAUGUAUAAAUCUCGAUUUUGAAAAAUUGACACUUAAGACUGGUUUUGUGGUCUAGGAUCACAUUUGAUAUCAUAGUUUGAUGGUUGACAGUUUUCUUUUUUUUUUGAUGAAUAACAGCUUCAAUUUCAUAAUGAUACUCUUAGAGGUCUGUCAAGGAUUUGUAAUAUAUCACUCAGGUGAUAUGGGCUACAUUUAACUUCUGUGAUUUUAUUGAAUGAUUGAUUGAUUGGAGAUUGACCGCUGGAUUCAGAAGCAUUUAGAAUCAAACUCAAGCUGUGUUUACACCACAACAGUGCACUAAAAAUGUGUUUUCUGCAUUCAGACAAUUUUGGCAAAUUGAUCCCUGUUCACGCGGAUCUGCGAAAAUAACGAAAUGCUAGCAAUGCAUGUCCAACCAGAAGCUGCCAAUGUCAGCUUGGAAAGAAAAACGACACAUACAUGUAAUGCCAUAUUCAUAACAUCACUGUUCUCACAACUUUGUGUUUUUGUAGUUUACAUCGAGAUGAUAAUGGUAUAACUUUCACUUUGAAGCCCGUUUCCAAUCCAGUUUAAAUUAAUUAAAAAAGUCCAGAAAGUUUGAGCAUUUUACUUUAAUUUAUGGUUUGAAGGUUUGAAAAACACUUCAUUCCCAAGAAUGCACUCAAAACUAUUUUGUUUUAAUUACAUGGAAUUUCACUUUCUGUAAUUUUAGUUCAACUUCUUGUCAGGUUACACCAAUUUUAUUCGAUUUGAAAACUUUUUUGGUCAUUUAAAAAAUUCUCCUUUUUUGGACUUGUUGGGAAACAGGGAUGAUAUGAGGGUGAGUAAAAAUAAUUUUCAUUUUUAGAUGAACCGACUCCUAGUUUGACAACCUUUUGAGUCUGAUAACUGAUAAUUUUCCUCAUCAUCAUCUACAGGAAAAUUUGAACACCUCUUCAUUUUGUUCAGACAUAUCUAUUCUUCAGCAUUACUCAUCAUAGUGUGUGGUGGUUUUCUCGGAAAAUCGUUUUCAGAGCGUAAUAAAUGGAAAAUUCUUCUGUAGCAGAUGGGGUGUAUGAACUGGUAGUCAUUUCACAGAAAUAUGUUUAUUAUGUUUAUUUCCUGUCUGAACUAAUGAACGUAAAGCGGUGGGUAACUGUAUAUAAUACAUGGACAAACACAUCUUGUGUAGACAGAAAUCUCGCCCACAGUACUAAUUUGCUCUACUUUUUUCCUUCUACUAAAAGCUCAAGAUCGUGAGCCUGUCAUCCUCGCAAUACAUUGCAUUGAACAUGUAUUGAACACUCCCAGUCUGAAUAAUGAUUUGCAAACCAUUUCAGAUGAGGACUUCGAAGUGCAUUUAUCACAAUUAUCAUGAACCUUCGAGAUCCAAAGUUUCGAUAUGAAUUAAAAGAUUCACAAACCCGUUCCGAAGUCCCUCGCUUCAAGUCGCCAUCUGAAUCAGAGUGCAAAAGAGUGAAUCAUUUUGUGAAGCAAGUCAGAGUUUCUAAAAGCUCAGUUUCACCUGUUUUAAAAAGUGGACCCCCUCUUUUGAAAAGGUUUUUUUUUUGGCUAGUGAAUCAAAGAGUUUGAAUCAAUCAGAGCGGUUAAAUAAUAAAUUACUCACUCACUGAAUCUGUGUCUGUUCCUCCAAGGCUUUAGCCAUGACAGUACUAGCUCAAUUGUUUUAUGGCAUUAACUGAAAUAAGCAUAAAAAGCUUGAUGUUUACAAAUCCAACACAUAUUGGGCUCUAUCAUACACCUGGCAAAACUGUGUUUGCUAGGUUCAGUCCGGUACCGUCAUCUCAGAGGUGCAUACAGAAUGCAUACAGAACUUUGUGCUUGCCACUUACUCACAUUAUCAACUCCUCUCUUCACUCUGGAACAUUUCCUUCAGUGUUUAAGCAGGCUCGAGUAAUCCCACUGCUGAAGAAACCGUCUCUAAAUCCAGCGCUUCUUGAAAACUACAGACCGGUAUCCAUUCAUUGCAAAGACACUUGAGCGAGCUGUGAUGAUGAUCAACCAGCUCUCUAUGUUCCUUGUACAGAACAACCUCCUGGACAGCAACCAGUCUGGGUUCAAAAGCCUGCGACUGGCAAGAGCAACUUCCAAAUAUCAAGGCCAAGCCAAAUAUCUCAGUACUUGGACCACUUCUCUUCUCCAUCUACAUGACGUCAUUCAGCCCACAUUACUCCUCUCCUCAUCAGGUUACACUGGCUACCAGUAGCUGCUCGCAUCAAAUUCAGGGUACUGAUGCUUGCCUACAAGACGACCACUGGCACGGCACCAACAUACCUAAACUCACUAGUUCAAUCUUAUGUGUCCUCCAGAAGUUUGCACUCUGCAAGUGAACAACGCCUUGUGGUGCCAUCCCAAAAAAGUUCAAAACCACUCUCACGGACCUUUUCCUGGACUGUGCCCAGCUGGUGGAAUGACCUCCCAAUCUCAAUCCGAACAGCUGAGUCUUUACUCAUUUUCAAAAAACAUCUAAAGACUCAUCUUUUUCGACAGCACUUAAAGCUGCAGUAGGUAACUUCUGUAAAUAUAUAUUUUUACAUAUUUGUUAAACCUGUCAUUAUGUCCUGACAGUAGAAUAUGAGACAGAUAAUCUGUUAAUAAAUCAAGCUCCUCUGGCUCCUCCCAGUGUCCUAUUGCCAUUUGCAGAAAUACAUCACUCCCGGUAAAAAACAACCAAUCAGAGCUGCGGUCCGUAACUUUGUUUGUGUUCAAAAUGUAGAAAAAUGUAUAUAAUAAGCGAGUACACCAUGAAUCCAUUUUCCAAACCGUGUUUUUAGCUUGUCCUGAAUCACUAGGGUGCACCUAUAAUAAGUGUUUAUAUUCGGACUAUUUUAGAUUGCUUCGGGGGUACCGCGGCGGAGUAACCCAGUACCUUUGUGAUUCUUCAUAGACAUAAACAGAGAGAAGUAGUUCCGGCUACGAUGUUCUUACGCAAGACGCAAGCAGUUCUGUUUAUUAACCGCUAGAGCAUCAAAAGUUACAGACUGCAGCUUUAACCAACGAAUACUAGUACUUACCUUUUCUUUUCUUGUCCAUCAUAUUCUUAAAAAAUAAUGCCUGGCUACGUGUUCUGUGCUAGACUAACUGAGACUUGUCAUGGCACUAAUGCUGUUGUUGUUUUCUUGUUGGUCUGAUUGCUUCUAUUGUUGUCAUUUGUAAUUCGCUUUUGAUAAAAGCAUCUGCUAAAUGAUUAAAUGUGAAUUUAAAUGUAAAUUAGGGCUCAUUCAGUUGAGAUAACCCAUUUACUGAUAACUAGCAAAAACUCCAUAAUGACA
ensembl:lncRNA